UUAGAGAGGGUCUGAAAGCCAAACAAGUUGGGAGCAGGGGAAAGACACAAAAGCUGCCAAUAUUCAAUAAACAGGAAGAAAGAAACAGUGAAGCCACACAGAGACCUCAAGGCUGUGCACAGGAUAUGACUUUUCCUUGCAGCCUUCUUUCAUUCGUGUUUGCAGCUAAUAAGGAUAAAAUCCUCAUCUCCAUUGACCCUGGGAAAGCAGAAAGGAAUCUACUUGCUGUCCCCAGUAGGAGUUUCAUGGUAACAGUUCCACACUGUACCUGUUACUAAGGCCUUUCAGUGACCGAGAUUUCACAGCCCCCAUGCAGUCUAAUCCAGCAUACGUCUGUUCUCACUGCUGGAGUCACUCCUAAGCUUUGACCUGAAC